AAAGUUAUGUUCCGUAUAUUUUAACUACAAAAAUUGUUUAUUAUACAUUACUGCGAUUGUUACUACAACUAAUAAAUAUAAAUUCAUAAUAUAAUUAUAGAGAUGCUUCAUAAAAUGAACAUAUUUACAAUGCAAUAUUAUCAUAUAUAUUGCGAAACUGCAUAUUUCUUAUAGUUAAAUUCGACAAUAAUAUAACAAAAAUGUAGUUUCAAAAAAUCGAAUGUUAUCGUGUCGUAGAUAUAUAUUCAUAUCUAUGAAACAUCAAGGAAAUAAUAAAUCGUAACAUUAUCUUUUAUCUUUUUUUUUUAGCCUGAACACUUGUGCUCACCGACGUGGGUGUUAGACUUUCAGAAGAGUAAUAGUUUCGAGUGCGCAACGCUUUUAGUAAGUUUACUGCUAGGACAGAGUUACAACGCGUUCGUAGUGAGUGGAUAUGCAUCGCGCGAGCAAGUACUCUGCGACAUGACCAGAAGAACCUGUCCGUAUUUGCUGUCGGAGAUUGAGCAAGUACCACCGUCGGUCGACAAGCCCAAAACAGUCAAGUAUUAGUUAAAGGCACCACUCGAUUUCAGGAGUCGAUUUCUCUUAGAGUUGAGAAGAUUGCGAGAGAGCAAAGACGGAGGCGAAAUUACAACGACAAGAAGAAGAGCGACAGAGGAUGACUGUAGAGGAUCGCUGAAUUCGAACAUCCACGAUCCGAUAAAUAUUUCGGUCAUCGAAUACACGCGUGGGUGGUUAUCUUAUCGGACGAAAAUGGUGCGAGAAACCGAUCUUCGUCGAGCCUUCCUCCGGAAUGUCUUCCAACCCGGCCGAUGAAGAAAUUAAUUUGUUGUAUCUGGGAGUCGAGAGUAUUUGGAACGAUAAAAAUUAUUGGGUGAAUAUGCAGCCUCGCGGUAUGGCUGCGCGAAAAUAAAUUGGGACUUGAGCAAAAUCGAAUUCUGGGAGCAUCUGCUUCCUGGUGAACCGCGAAUCGUGCGAAAAGACACGGACGAAAUCGAAGAAGACAUUGGCGUAAAACAAGAGAAGCAUUUGGAUAUGCCGGUCUCGUACGUGAGUGAAAUCCGAAUUCAUAGUUUAGCGCAUCGUUUUCUCGCAUCCGACAGUGAUUCAAUGGACGGUGAAAGAACGAUAUAGAUUUUUACGAUAGCACCGCGCAAUUUGACGGACUCUCACGCAUCGAGAUGGGCUUGCUUCAUUUGACUCAACAUUACGUGGUUCGUGAGGAUCUGAUUUUAUUACAGAUGUUUAUCUGUAUUACAGAUAAAUCGAUAUUCCCGCGUUUAUUAUAUUUCUAUUUUCAUGUCAGUUUCUCUCGAAAGAUUCUAAUACAUCUCGAAAAGAAAUCAGAUCCUUUGAGCUGUACACGAUUUUUUCUGCACGUACAAAUUUUUCUCAU